ACAGUGAUGGAAAGAUGAAAAGAACUUUGAAAAGAGAGUGAAAAAGUACGUGAAAUUGUUGAAAGGGAAGGGCUUGAGAUCAGACUUGGUAUUUUGUAUGUUACUUCUUCGGGGGUGGCCUCUACAGUUUAUCGGGCCAGCAUCAGUUUGGGCGGUAGGAGAAUUGCGUUGGAAUGUGGCACGGCUUCGGUUGUGUGUUAUAGCCUUCGUCGAUACUGCCAGCCUAGACUGAGGACUGCGGUUUAUACCUAGGAUGUUGGCAUAAUGAUCUUAAGUCGC
rnacentral:rRNA from 1 species